rnacentral:rRNA from 1 species
UAUUAUGAGAGUUUGAUCCUGGCUCAGGACGAACGCUGGCGGCGUGCCUAAUACAUGCAAGUCGAACGCUUCUUUCCUUCCGAGUGCUUGCACUCAAUUGGAAAGAGGAGUGGCGGACGGGUGAGUAACACGUGGGUAACCUACCCAUCAGAGGGGGAUAACACUUGGAAACAGGUGCUAAUACCGCAUAACAGUUUAUG